rnacentral:rRNA from 1 species
ACUCCUACGGGAGGCAGCAGUAGGGAAUCUUCCACAAUGGGCGCAAGCCUGAUGGAGCAACACCGCGUGAGUGAAGAAGGGUUUCGGCUCGUAAAGCUCUGUUGUUAAAGAAGAACACGUAUGAGAGUAACUGUUCAUACGUUGACGGGUAUUUAACCAGAAAGUCACGGCUAACUACGUGCCAGCAGCCGCGGUAAUACGUAGGUGGCAAGCGUUAUCCGGAUUUAUUGGGCGUAAAGAGAGUGCAGGCGGUUUUCUAAGUCUGAUGUGAAAGCCUUCGGCUUAACCGGAGAAGUGCAUCGGAAACUGGAUAACUUGAGUGCAGAAGAGGGUAGUGGAACUCCAUGUGUAGCGGUGGAAUGCGUAGAUAUAUGGAAGAACACCAGUGGCGAAGGCGGCUACCUGGUCUGCAACUGACGCUGAGACUCGAAAGCAUGGGUAGCGAACAGGAUUAGAUACCCUGGUAGGAUAGCG